CCUAGACAUCUCAGAAAUAUUUUUAAAAAUGAAUUUCGUGUAAUAAAUGUUGAUUCUACGGAUUCUCGAAUGCAACACAGGACUUACUUUUUGGGAGGUGUAUGUAUAAUAUUCUUCUUGAUGGAGCUCCCGGUUUAUCUCAUACGAGUACAAUUAAAUGUAAAAUUGUUCAAACAACAAUUUUCCCUACAAUCAAAUUUUCCGUCUAAAAAGGAAAUGACAUUAGUUUUCUAUGAAAAAAGUUCGUCUUUCAUACAAUGACAAGGAUGUUACUAAAAUGACUGAAUAUCAGUAUAACUCACCACAGAGAUAAGAGCAGAAUUGUUUUGAUUCUGUAACUGUAUUUGAUACCACCCCAACCUCAGAAAAGGACCAAGAGUUUCUCGUAUUUCAGUAGAUACAGAUAUGACUCCUCAGCGCAAACAACUUGUAACAUUUAAAACAUUAAAUAACCAUGGUUCAUUAAAGAGAUAGAUUCUGUAGUAAAUGCAUCAAGAAAUAUGACAAGUAAUAUUAUUGUAAUUUUGCUUACACAUCCAGAAUUUUUAUGGAAAUGCAGUAAAAUGUCAAUAUUUUCAUUCAAUUGCGUUUAAAUCACUUCAAGUUUUCGGUGUGCCAGUUUUGUCCCAUACCUGGUCAAGAAAAUAACAAACGUUAUAUCAUUUGACGACUAUAAAGCAAAAACGUUAAUAUGAGAAACCUUAAGAAUACGAGAAAAGGAGAUAUAUAUCUUUAUCACAGUGUACUGAAAUAUACUAUGAAGGAUUCAUUUGUAUUAAUCUAGAACAAGAUUUUUGUAUCAGUCAAAAUUGUUAUCUUAUUUCAUUCGUUUAGAAACGUACCAAACUACAAAAUGACUUGAUGCAGCGUAUUAAAGAAGAAAGAAAAUGUAGUGCCGCCGAUGAAGCACCAGGAUAUGCAAACAUAUUACCUCAACUGAAGAAAUUCUUACCAUCAAAUGUUCGUGACAAGACAGGUUUUUUAGAACAA
rnacentral:lncRNA from 1 species